UUUGCCCUGCCCAUGCUCGUGAUUGGGAACAACGUCCUUGAACCGUAAGCUCAAUAUCCAGGGACCUUAGCCGCAGAUGGUGGCCGACAGGCCUUCACUGGAAGUCGUAAGCCGCCGGGCGGGUCCCGUCUUGUCCCUCGCAGUUCAAAGGAACUGAUCACACACGGCAUUUACGGUGGGGCUCUU
rnacentral:sRNA from 1 species